GCCGUCGCAGCAAGAUUUAGAAAAUAUGGAUACAAUUUAAUUGAGCUAAACCAGCUGUGUUCAUAGUCUUAUUCUGUGUUUGGUCCGACCCAAGAAGGGUAAGAGUUCCGGUGUUAACGACAAACAUAAUUACGACCACGAAGCUUCUCCACUUUGUUGAGAGUGCGGCUCGAGACCCGGGCCCUGGCAGCUCGAGACCCGGGCCCUGGCAGCUCGGCAGUGGAGCAUAUGAGACUCGGUCAGGUUUUUUAGUUGGAGUGAAAAGGUUCCUGUGGACGAUUACAACGACUUCCAGCAGAUUCCGAUAGAUGGCGAGCUACCCAGUUUGAAUUCAGGAAACAGGAUCUACACUUUCUUGGAAAUGUGGUAGGAUUGUGUCAGUCACCUGUGGCGGCUUUCUAACACGCGUUAGAAAGAGUGCACUCCAACGAUCCUUUAGACGCGUGGAUUCUCGACCUUUGAACUCAGACAGAUCAGAACUCCUCUGAUCAGAAAAUAACUUGACUUUGACUGACUUUAAAAUUGCUUGAACAAGUAAAUAAGACAUUUUAAUUUCUUUCAAGGGCCCCUUUUUAUUAUUUUCUAUGCAAAUGUUUAUUUCUUUGUAUGUUGCAUAAUGUUCUGUUGCAAACUAAAAUGCAAAGUGCAGUUGGUUG